UACUAGCUGAGCAACCUUAACCAAGGC
rnacentral:piRNA from 1 species